rnacentral:lncRNA from 1 species
UUUUAUUUUUUAAUUGAAUAAGAAUAAGUUUGAAUUUUUAUAAUAUACAUGAGGAAAUAAAUGGAACUGUAUUAAUUACAAAACUAAUUUUGAAAAUUAGAUGUUAAAAAGCUACUUCUCCUUUCUUUUCGCUUCAGGAUGGGGUCAUUUCAUCAAAAGUAAUUUUUAAAAAAAUUUACAAAACACUAAAAUUAGUUUUUAAUUUUUAAAAAUUACUUUUAAGUCUCUCAAAAAUAAUUUCAAACAAAUCCUAAAUUUGAAAUUAACUUAUUUUCGGACAUUUUCAUUUUCAAUUAGAUUAACAAUAUUAAUGAAAGAGAAAGAGUAUUAUAUAAAUUGGUUAUUGUUGUGGCUUAUUAUAUCAUUGUCAGGCAUUCUAUAUUAUUUAAAAAAAAAACAAUUAUAUAAUACACAUUUGUUUGUCCAAGUAGAAUUUGUAUUUGUAAUUGCAGCAAUUACUCGAAUAAAAAUAGUUCAGACUUUAGGUGAAUGAUUAAAAAACACAAAAGUAUGGGGCCGCCUUGAUAAUGUUGGACUUAUAAGAAGAAUAACUUAUGAUGUCGCUAGUUCUGAGCCGUUAGAUCUUCGCCUGAGAGUUGCGCGUCCUCGUAAGCCAGUGAGUCCGUACGAAAGCCAGCAAAAUUGGGUGAGUGAGAUUCCUGUGGGCCCAGGUGAGUUAAUACGGCACGUGGCAUAUAGAGAUAGGAAAAGGGCGGUACCGGUGGAUCGGGUUCGGGUGUGGGAAAGGAUGACCAUACAAGCUGGAUAGUGUGGAAUAAAUCACAUUUCAAAGAAGAUAAAAUAUUUUUAAUGCCACGAGUUUUGAAUAUGGUCGAAUACAAAUUAUUAAAUAAAAAAUAAAAAAAUCCUGCUAAAACGUGGCGGAUACUUUCCGUGGACGAAAAUUAUUCAAUAAUGCAGCACGGAAAUCAUGUGCACUGCUCACAAUCACAAAUAAUAGUGGUCUCCGUUCACUCUAAUUAUGAAAAAAACAGAAAUUAAAACACAGUAAAUUAAUUGUACAUUACAACUUGCAAGUUGCAACUGUUGUAGACUUUUCAUUAAUAAUUGCAAAGUUUCGUUAUUUUAUGAAUUUAUACUUCAACUUGUGAUUUGCGAGGAAAGAAUCGAUUAAAGAAGCAGGGCAAAGGGCCCCGUUAAAUCAAGUAACAAUCUCGAUUUAUGUGGAUCUAAUCAAGUCCUUGCUCCCAUGAUUCGUAGUCACAACUUACAAACUUGACUUUU